UGUAAGCGUAUACCAAAGUUGUUGCAGUUAAAACGCUCGUAGUCGGAAUUUGGCAGUUCUGGAUGUGUGCACGUCGUGUGCGCACUUCGCGGGGAUUGCUUUUGUGGUCUUGCGUAGGAUGAGGCACUUUUAUUAGUGAACGUCCUCACGCAGCCACUUUUUACUGUGAGAAAAUCAGAGUGCUCAAAGCAGGCAUUUGCCGUGAAUGUAUUAGCAUGGAAUAAUAGAAUAGGACUUGGUUCUAUUUUGUUGGUUUGUUGGGACUGAGUAAUGAUUAAGAGGGACAGUUGGGGGCAUUUGUAUUUCGGUGCUAGAGGUGAAAUUCUUAGGUUACCGAAAGACAAACUGCUGCGAAAGCGUCUGCCAAGGAUGUUUUCAUUGA
rnacentral:rRNA from 1 species